CUGAGUUGUACAUUAUAUAGCCUAAAUACAGUUCCAAACAUGUCGAGUAAGAGAAGCACAUUUCCGUUGGGAAAACUGCGAAUUAUGCGGUGAUUAAAACAAGAACCACAAGUUAGCCUACUGGCUGACCGCUGGGCUAAAAUAAGCUCAGAAUGUGGUUCAAGAUUUGAUCAAAAACGACCACCGGCUGGAAACUUUGCGCAAGGAAAAAAAACAGUUUCUGCAUUUUUAAUCCCCUCUCGUCAGGCCCGUUUCAAAUUCUGUUUCUAUUAUUUAAUUUAAACGUGUCCGGUUUUUCGUAGUCACACUUUCCUUACGCCAAAUGUUUCUUUUAAAGUGACGGGGUCCAUUUGCGCGUCACACUUGCGUGGAGUUGGGCUGCUUGAGCUGAGCGGUGGAAGUUGCAGGUUCUUCGUGUGAGCGUGUGGCGUUUCUCAAAAAACGCGCUUGUUAGGACGAGACCCGCAAAUCGAUAGACUGAUGUGAAAGGCACUAUAUAAGUGAUAGAUGGUACCUUUCAUAGCUACAUUUCAAUCGAAGAGAAAGAUAGAUGGCUAUUUGCCCCCGGGGAGGUAAUCUGAUUUUUCACAGAAACUCUAUAAACAAACAAAUAAAUGAAUGAAUAUACACUCGACAUAUGUUCUAAACACACUGUAUGGUUAAUAAAAUAGAAGAAGAAAUGUAGAAGAGUCAGCGGACAAGAAAUGAAUGAGUGAAUGGACUUGAUUGUGUGACUUAUUCUUAACGAGCGGAGUUUCUGUUUCUUCGAUUUAUGCUCAUUUAUUUUUAAGUAGUAUUUUACAUCCCGACUCACCUGCACUUUAAUGAUCUCGAUGAUCUUUUUUCAUAGAAAUUUUUAAAACUAAUUUAAACAGGUGGAGAAUAUUGAAAGACUAUAAAGAAAAUGUAACUCGGGACGUGCUUUAUUCAAAAUACAUGAGUAUAGUAUAAUAAAUAUAUGUGCACCUCACCUAACGUAAACGCAUAUCAGGUAUAAUGUUACUCAUGUAAUCAAAUGUAAGAAAGGAACAGAAAAAACACGCAGUGCAUUUUACAUUUCAGUAUUAAAACACAUGUCGAAUGUUAGAGGCACAGUAAUUAUGUUUAUAAAAAAGUGCUGCUUUUAUUUAAACGAACUAAACUAAAAGUACAAUAGCCAUCCUUUUCUCAGGCGAGUUUCCCAAAAUAAAUCAUAAGAGGAAAGCAAAAAGCUUUGCAGGAUCCGGCAAGGCUUAACUUGCCAUUAGUUGGGCCCAUGGGUUUAAAUCUCUGCUAAUCAAUUUAAAGCUCCGACCACACCUUUAGCCAUUAGCGCUCAUUCUGGCAACAGCGAAGACGGUGGAUAACAGGCAUUAAAACAAGACCGACCAGCAAGCGAAGACAGGAAAAGAAAAAAACAAAACAAAACAAAAAAAAAAAAAAGGAAAGGAAAAGAAGAAAGAAAGAAAUGCAAUUUGGGUGCGUCUGAUCGCCCCCGAUCUGCCCCUUCAUCUUCGGUGCACACCCACCUCCCAUGGACCUGCAGGACAGGCGGCUGUGGUUGGCCGGCGGCCCGAUGGACGGCCUCUUUUGCGAGCGAGAGCCCUUCAUGCUUCGCUACCUGCGCGUGUUGAGAGAGCUGCUGACCUUCGUGCUGUUCAGCUACACCGUCCUGCUGGGGGCGCUGCUGCUGGCCGGCUGGACCACGUACUUCAUGGUGGUUAAAUAAGAGGGGCGGUCGGCCAUGCCGCCCUUCACACUGCUUUGCUUUAUUGUUUAGUUGAUCUGCCUGCUUAAAGGAAAUAAAAAUGUGCGGCAAAACGC